rnacentral:lncRNA from 1 species
CCCUGCUGUUCACUUUUCUUGAAUUGUCUACUGAAUGUGUGCCUAAUCAUGUGUACCUCUCAGCAUUAUCAAGGGUGAUUUAGAAUGGGGUUCAGUGGGCAAGUCUUCUGGAUUCAGUUCUGACUUAUUGGGUGGGAAUCUUCUGAUAGCAUGCCUUUCUACCAGGGUGAUGGAUUCAUUCCAGCGUCAGGAUAAAGACUUGACAACAUAUAAAUUUUGGAAAUAAGCCAAUAACAAAAUAAUAUUAAAAACGUCACAACAAUUUACCAUUGUUCCCAACAGGUUUUCACACUUCGGAAACCACACAUAAUGACAUCAUCAUCUAUUUUUUGGAAUACAUCGUUUUCAAUAUAUAAACUAAGUUGUCAUUCAUCCACCGAUCUCCAAUUUUAUUGCGCAAUCGAGCCUUCACAAUGUUAUUUGCAGUCAAGACUCUUUCAACUGUCGGAGUAGCAAUGGGAAGAAUUAAUGCCAAAUUCACAAGCUUGUAAACUAAUGGAUACACUUCAUUUUUCUUAGUUGCAUUCAACUUCGUUGAAAGAUUACUAAGGCCCCGUAAUUCUUUGAACUCUUUGCUAGAGCGAAUAUCAGUGAUAUAAGCUUCAAGUUGAUCAUCAAGUUUCAUAAACUCUGUUGUUGAAAAGUCGUUUGGAUAAUACUGAGCAAGGCGAACUAACUUUUCCUUAUCAAAAGCCGAGAAUGAAUCAUUGGGGCAUAAGCAUGCUACACAAAGAAGAAGCUCAUUAUUUACCUCAGUGAAUCGAUCAUUCAAUUCUUGAAGUUGCAUAUCAAUGACAUUAUAGAAUAAACCCUCACGGAAGUAAUGCAAAUUUGUCAUUUCUUCAAUAUUCCGCCUUGGGCGACCUUUAUACGUAAAGGUACCAUCCAUGUUCAAAACAUCAAUAUAGUGCUUUUGACAAAAAGAACGUACUUGUUCCAAAAGAGAAUCCCACCCAUUCUCCCUAAUCAAUUGGAGUUGUUGUUUACAUACUUUCACUAAACUUAUGGCAUUUACAAUAUCUUCAUCUUUCUUUUGUAAUGCCUUCGACAAUUCAUUGGAAAUUCCUAAAAUAGUUUUCAUGAGAUGUAGACUGAAUGCAAAGUCAAACGAUUGCAUCCAAUCUAAUAAAUAAUUUGCCCCAGAUCUUUGAUUAGGAUAUGAUUCAACAUCAGCAAUCAUUUCAAGGACAUCAAGUAUGGGCGAGAACAUGGUAAUCAAAGCGGUCAAAGUACCAUAGUGUGAUCCCCAAUGUGCAUCAUGAGGAGAAUUAACAGUACUAUGUUGAUCGAAACUUUGUCCAUUUGAAAUCUCAUUGUUCUCAAGUGCAUUUGAAAUUAUGGCUACUUGUUUCUCUCUGAGAAGAUCACAACGAUUAGACAAUACUCCAACAGUAUUCACCAUCCUAGAAACCAAACUGAAUAGUGAUCCAAUCUCCCUGUGAUUCUUCGCAACAUGUACAAGAGCUUGUUCAAGUCGAUGAGCAAAGCAAUGAAUGUAAAAUGCACACGGAUUCUCUUUCAAAAUAAGUUCUUUGAGACCAUUUAACUCACCUUGAAUAUCGCUAGCCACCUCAUAACCUUGUCCUCUCAAUCUAGAAAUACUCAACUCGUAUUUACAGAAUAAUUUAUCUAUAACCGCCUUAAGUGAGAAAGAUGUGGCACUAGAAACGUGUUCAAUACCCAUACAAUGUUCGACUACAUCUCCAGUGUUGUUCACAUAACGCAACACAAUAGACAUUUGCUCCUCUUGUGAGACAUCAAGAGACUUAUCAAGUAGAAUUGAGAAUAAGGCAUCACCAAUAUCUUCAAUAAUAACACUCAGCAUUUCAACAGCAGCAACACUUGCAAUAUCAUUUUGAAUAUCACGUGCUAUUAAAACGAGAUUCUCUGGAGCAUUUUUCAUAAUAGCCUUAAUCUCAGCACUUUUGUUGGCCAGCCACCACAAAAGUUGAAUAAAGUUACGUUGAUCUUCUGAAACCGCAAAUUCAUCAUCAUCGAAUACAAGUCCUUGUCGUGUGAGAAAUCGAACACAAUCAACUGAUACACUCAAAAGAGUCUGAGCACCUGCUUGCACGCGUGCUCCUCUAAUUAUAUCUUUCCUUGAUUUCUCUACAUCAUCAUUUUCUUCAUUAGAGAAUGGAGAUUUUCGUUUAAAAUAUCUCUCCAUAACUUCCUACAUGUCAAAAAGAGCAAACUCACUUCAACUAAAAGUCCAUAACAAACAACAAUUAAUAAUUUAUAUGAUUAACAGAACUCGAAUUAAACAGGCCAGUAAUAAUAAGCUCAAUUAAACAUAUUCGCAUCAAAUUAUACAUAAACACAGUAAGCCCAAUAAACUGUGUUCAAAAGAACCCACAUUAUAUAUGCCACUAAAUUAACUUCUAUUUCCUUCACUUAAGAUUGUUUUAUUAAGCAGAGUAAUCCACAAGCAGGAAAAAUGAAUUCUU